AGUGCUAGUAGAGAGCUGCUGAAGGAUGAAGGGACCAGACCUUGGAUGGAGAAGUGGUGCCGAGCAGAGCUGAGACUGAUAGCUGACUGGAGCGGAUGGUGGCAGCAGCAGCUACAGCAGAUAACACAGUAAACCCAACAGGACAGAGUGAGCCUGAGUCCUUAGUCCUUGGGAUACUAAACAGGGGACCUAGGUCUGAGGACAGGUUGGUGGCUGCUUCCCUGGCUGCUACAGCUAUAAAGAGCUAUGUCUGGUUCAAGAUAGCACAUCUCAGCGAGCCACAGAAUAAAGCCCAUGAGCCAAGGAUUGAGUGAAGAUUGCUUACCUUGCCCAUCUAUAAACUAUUAUCCCUGAUAAUCAAAUUCUUGAGUCUAUUUACAAAGUCUUCAUUUUCUAAUGAUAUACUACGACUUGCAGGGCUGGCUCCAGGCACCAGCGAAGGAAGCAGGUGCCUGGGGCGGCCAAUAGAAAGAGGCAGCACUCUGUGCGUUACUGGGGCGGCACAUCCACGUCUUCAGCAGCAAUUCGGCAGCGAGUUCUUCAUUCCCUCUCUACCUCUUCGGCGGCAGCUCAAUGGGGUUUUUCUUUUGUCGCCACUUGGGGCAGCAAAAAAGCUGGAGCCGGCCCUGAUGACUGGACUCACCAAAAUUUUGGGAAAUAAUACCUUGGUUUUAACUUACCAAGGAUAAAGCACCCCAGAGGCAGUUCACCCUCAAGGGUAUAAUCUCUGUUAAAAAUGCUCUAGAGAGACAGACAUACAGAAUCAAUUGUAACAAAAGUAACUAGUUUAUCAUUUGUGUUCUGUUCUGUGUUAUAUCUAAUGUGUAUUUUUUUUUACUUCCUUUAAGAAUAAAAUAGC